CUGAGCUAGAGAACACAGAGGCAUCAGAGGAACCUGCUGGCAACAUCACCGCUGCUUCUGCCCAGUCCAACCUGACUGAUGUGCCCAGUUACUCCAAGGGGCAAAACACAUCUUGUCCUGAUUCUUCUGGGGAAACUCAUGACAACUCCACCACAAUGGCGUCAACUCAACCAUGGCCUCCAUCAGGAACCACUCCAGACUCCAGUAGAAGUGAGCCCAGCAGUUCCUCUCCUCCAGUGACGUUGCAUCCCACCACCACUACAGCCCAGGCUCCUGUGACCAAUGAUGCUGUGAAGACAUCUGUGAGGAUCCAGGCCUUUCCUGAACUGGAGAAUACAACCCCGCACAAUCGUUUCAGUACAAAAUCUGCAGGUUCCCACAACACCCCUGUUUUGGUUGCAGUCCCUGCUGUGAGCUUGCCCCAUCCUGACCAGACUCUGCAGACCACCAGCAGGCCUUCAGUGUCUACUUCUGGAAGUUUCAACCUUGUUUAUGGUGGAA
rnacentral:lncRNA from 1 species